AUGCUUCCCUGGCAGGGAAGAUCCCGUGAUCACGGAGAUGGUUUUCCCAGGGCACGGCUGAUCCACUGCACUGAGGACCUGCUGACCCCUGCAAUUCUACACAUUGGGGAGACUCGACUAUGUAAUUUGUGUUGAUGGUGGAUUGUGUGCAGGCUUUCCCCUG
rnacentral:snRNA from 1 species